UUGGGAAUAUUGGACAAUAGGGGAAACCCUGAUCCAGCAAUGCCGCGUGGGUGAUGAAGGCCUUCGGGUUGUAAAGCCCUUUUGGCGGGGACGAUGAUGACGGUACCCGCAGAAUAAGCCCCGGCUAACUUCGUGCCAGCAGCCGCGGUAAUACGAAGGGGGCUAGCGUUGUUCGGAAUUACUGGGCGUGAAGGGCGCGUAGGCGGCCGUGCAAGUCAGAUGUGAAAGCCCUGGGCUCAACCCAGGAGGUGCAUUUGAUACUGCAUGGCUAGAGUGUCGGAGAGGAUGGUGGAAUUCCCAGUGUAGAGGUGAAAUUCGUAGAUAUUGGGAAGAACACCGGUGGCGAAGGCGACCAUCUGGACGACAACUGACGCUGAGGCGCGAAAGCGUGGGGAGCAAACAGGAUUAGAUACCCUGGUAGUCCACGCCGUAAACUAUGCGUGUUGGACGUUGGCGAGCCUAGCUCGUCGGUGUCGCAGCUAACGCGUUAAACACGCCGCCUGGGGAGUACGGCCGCAAGGUUA
rnacentral:rRNA from 1 species